rnacentral:tRNA from 1 species
AGCUCCGCGGUGACAGGCAUGUUCGAUUGCAAAUCGAAAGAAGCAAACGAGAGUUUGCCGGGGCUU